UACGUAGGGACCAAGCGUUGUUCGGAUUUACUGGGCGUAAAGGGCGCGUAGGCGGCAUGACAAGUCACUUGUGAAAUCUCUGGGCUUAACCCAGAACGGCCAAGUGAUACUGUCGCGCUAGAGUGCAGAAGGGGCAAUCGGAAUUCUCGGUGUAGCGGUGAAAUGCGUAGAGAUCCGGAGGAACCCCAGAGGCGAAGGCGGCGCUCUGGCUCGCAACUGACGCUCAGACACGACAGCAUGGGGAGCGAACGGG
rnacentral:rRNA from 1 species